rnacentral:lncRNA from 1 species
UUUUUAGUCGACUUCUUGCGUCUCAUCGCUUUGAAACUAUUUUCAGUUGGAGGUCCGGCCAAAAUACGUAAUUUAGACGGUCGAACGACCUUUUCCGUACGUUUAAGGGUUUGACUUACGGGAUUGACCGUCCGGAUCGAGCUCUUAACCUUGUCGGAUCAAGUUGAAUUUUUUCCCAUACAUGUAUUUUGUCAUGAUGGUCAGAUUUGACGGUCGGAUUUCUGUUCUCAAGUUUGAUCAUCACAAUCACAACAUGCCUACUAAUGUUGUAUAACUUGUUUACCAAGUGUUAUGUAAAUGUUCCGUUUCAAAAACAAACUAUACGUAAAACCUUCAAACGCAAAAAAGUCGUGAAAUAAGAUAUGACGAGAAUGGUGAAAUACAUCCACGGUUGAAAAAUCACACUAUUCCGGUAAAUAUUCUGUGCCGAUAUUGCGGUCAAUGCAAUUUUUCAUUCUUUCCCCCCUAUGAGUAACCCUAUCUUCGGUGGUUAUUUUACGUAAAAUUUUUAUACGACUUGUUGCGUGUCAUCGAUUUAAAACUAUUUUCAGUUGAAGGUCCGGCCAAAAUACGUAAUUUAGACGGUCGAACGACCUUUUCCGUGAAUUUAGGGGUUUGACUUACGAGAUUGACCGUCCGGAUCGAGCCCUUAUUCUUGUCGGAUCAAGUUGAAUUUUUGCCCAUACAUGUAUUUUGUCAUGGUGGUCAGAUCUGACGGUCGGAUUUCUGUUUCUCAAGUUUGAUCAUCACAAUCACAAUGUACCAAAUGUAUAAAAGUACUUUAGCCGACGAAUUUCAAAGGUUAGCCGACGAAUUUCAAAGGUUUAGCUGAUGAAUUUCGAAGGUUUAGCCGACGAAUUGAUUAUUAGCCGACGAGAUUCUUAGCUUUAGCCGACGAAAUAAUAAUUUCGUCGGCUAAAGUUGUCGGGUUUAACUUGCGCUCGACAGCAGAAAAACCCUAGCCUCCUCUUCCGCCUCCUCCGCCUCCUCCGCGUCCUCUCCCUCUCCCGGUCUCCCAGUCACUCUCUCCCUCUCCCGGUCUCCGCCUCCUCCCUCCUCCCUCC